ACGGAAAGACUCUCUUCGGUGACGGGUAUUCUUGGGUGGAUAAUACGGAUCACGUUGUUAUUGCUUAAGAAUACGCGUAGUUGAGGAGAGUCCUCUCUUC
rnacentral:pre_miRNA from 12 species